rnacentral:misc_RNA from 1 species
GAUGAAGAACGUAGCGAAAUGCGAUAAGUAGAGUGAAUUGCAGAAUUCAGUGAAUCAUCGAAUCUUUGAACGCACAUUGCGCCCCUUGGUAUUCCAUGGGGCAUGCCUGUUCGAGCGUCAUUUGUACCUUCAAGCUUUGCUUGGUGUUGGGUGUUUGUCUCGCCUCUGCGUGUAGACUCGCCUUAAAACAAUUGGCAGCCGGCGUAUUGAUUUCGGAGCGCAGUACAUCUCGCGCUUUGCACUCAUAGCGACGACGUCCAAAAGUACAUUUUUACACUCUUGACCUCGGAUCAGGUAGGGAUACCCGCUGAACUUAAGCAUAUCAAUAAGCGGAGGA